UAUUUCAACACAUUCAUUUUAUUUUAUGGUCCUUUGGCUUAUAACAACUUUAUGCAUUUUCAGUAACCCCGUCAGCAACAGCGAUACAACAGGAAUCAAGAACCCCGCCAGCACCACAGACACGGCAAUCGAAUUCACUAGAUUGUUUAGAUAAAGUGACUUUGGGAGUACUCUGUCCUUGCAUGACUUGUAUAUAUUGUGUUAGAACAAGAAUUAUGGGUCGUAGAGAGGAUAAUCCUUAUAAGAACUGUUUUGGUUAUGUUAAAGAAGACUAAAAAUUAAGAAGGAUCCAAAAGUGUCAUAAUAAUAUACAGUUUCCAACAUAAUCGUCUGUUAAAUUGUGUACAAAAUUUUUCAAAACCAAAAUUAUAUAUUUUACUAAAACAUAAUAAACAUUUACUA